UACGGAGGGUGCGAGCGUUGUCCGGAAUUACUGGGCGUAAAGGGCGCGUAGGCGGCUCAUCAAGUCGGGCGUGAAAUCUCCGGGCUUAACCUGGAAAAGGCGUUCGAUACUGUUGGGCUAGAGUGUGGAAGAGGCUACUGGAAUUCCGUGUGUAGCGGUGAAAUGCGUAGAUAUACGGAGGAACACCUGCGGCGAAGGCGGGUAGCUGGGCCAACACUGACACUGAGGAGCGAAAGCCAGGGGAGCAAACGGG
rnacentral:rRNA from 1 species